GACGGAGGAUGCAAGCGUUAUCCGGAAUGAUUGGGCGUAAAGCGUCCGCAGGUGGCAGUUCAAGUCUGCUGUCAAAGACCGGGGCUUAACUUCGGAAAGGCAGUGGAAACUGAACAGCUAGAGUAUGGUAGGGGCAGAGGGAAUUCCUGGUGUAGCGGUGAAAUGCGUAGAGAUCCGGAAGAACACCGGUGGCGAAGGCGGUCUGCUGGGCAGUUGCUGACACUGAGGCGCGACAGCGUGGGGAGCAAACAGG
rnacentral:rRNA from 1 species